UAAUAGCUAGUUUACAAAAAAUAAAUGAUUUCGACUCAUUAGACUAUGAUUAUCUCAUAGCUAUUAA
rnacentral:tRNA from 1 species